GCAGCCGCUAUCAGACGGGUCAGACAAUUUCUUCGCCGCCGGCAAGUGCCCCCACACAUAUCACCUGGAAUGGCGACCUCCCACCGCGCCACCUCGCCGGCGCCGCCGCGCCCGCAGUCCCCAGGGGUCGGCGGCGUGCCCCUCUCGUCGGCCAUCGGCGACCUCCUCCGCUUCGUCCUCUCCUCCAACGCCGCCGCCACCCCGGCCGACGAGCCGGCCAGCUUCCCCCUCUCGCCCUCCUACUGCGCCCGCCUCCUCGACGACGGCGGUGACCUGUGCGGGAAGCUUGCGGCCGGUAUUGUGCAGUGCCUAGAGGAGGGGCGGCUCCCGGGGCCGCCCGUGGCGGUCGGGAUCCCGGUUGCCGAGGAGGGGCCUGAGGAGAGAGAGUGGGAGGCGGUGCUGCUGGAGAAAGGUGCCGAGCUGAAGCUGAUGUACAAUGCCGUUGAUUUUGAGCUGCAUGUUCAGGAACCAUACUUCACUCAACUCAGAGCUGAAGCCAAGACAGUUGAAGGGAGGUUAGCGACCGGUGACUACAACAGGAUUACACAAGGUUCUUUGCUGCUAUUCAAUAAAUGCCUCAUGCUUAACGUUGAGGCUGUUAGGAAAUACAGUUCAUUCUCUGAGAUGCUGCAAGCAGAGACAAUCUCAAAUGUCCUUCCUGGUAUUUCAUCAGUAGAAGAAGGUGUCAAAGUAUAUAGGAAAUUCUAUACAGAGGAAAGGGAAAACUCUUAUGGAGUCUUAGCAAUAUCUGUUUCGAAGCCAUCAGCUCAGCCCUACAUAAUUAUGACUGAUAUUCUUGCCGGAUUGCGUUAUGAUGGAUUGGGUCGACUCCUUGGUAUGGCCAAAACAGCUGGAACAGUUCCAGAUGGAUUACCUCCCCCAAGAUCUGCACUGAUAUCAUCUUGUAUGAGACUACAUCAACCAAAUGAGUAGGAAAGGAUGGUGGGGCGACUUUAAUGGAAGUGGUAAAGAUAUGGUCCAGCUUGGUACUCAUCCCCCGUUGGAGGUUACUGUUAUAGUCUAUUUCAUUGUUGCAUCAUUUGUCUUCAGAUUCGAACAAGAACAAACUCACAUCUGAAGCCAUUGGCUCUUUGUUACGUGAUUGUUGUUGGAUGAAUGUUCAUCUGACUCAACCAUACGGUCCUGUUUUCGAAAUCCGUGUGCAUGAAGGUUAUGGCGCCAGAUGGUCUCAAGAUGGUUCAAAGUUCAUCGGAUUCUUGGAGCCCUACACCCCGGAAGGCUUUUCUAAAGGAUGGAAACACUAACUAGAUCAUUAUCUGUUUAUAACAGGCCAGCAGCGCCGUUCAUUUGUAUCGCCUGUAUGCAUGUGUGUUUUGUUGAAUGGCCAAUUACUGAAGAUGUAGUUGUCUUGUUCCAUGUAGAAGAAAUGAUCAUGUGUUAUUGAGUUACGUCAGCUGCCUUGUAAAGUUACAAAUUUUGUAGUUCUGAAGUUUAUCUUGGAACAGUGUGUUCAUUUUUCGCUGAAGUAAUUUGGAAACUGCAUUUUCAGAUUCAGACUUACGAUGAGUAGGCAUGGUUUAUUA